GUUUCUGCUCCUGACUGGGCUGUUCAUCAGUGCAGUGGACAAGUUGAGUGACGUUACUAAACUGUUUAAUACUGAUUGUUUUCCUAAAAUUUCCAUAUGCAGACCUAUAUUAAUUGUGAUAUGCUAAACCUUUAGCAUUUAUUCUGAGUUAUUUGAUAUCCGGCAACUGGUUUGAUAUACCUCAAUGCUUUCAAAACCAGUCUAUGUCCUCCAUUGGCAGCUAUCACAACAAUUAUCAAGAGGACCGACGCUGGAAAUGCAGCUGUAAAACCACCUUCAGCCUGGGUACUGACUGUUUCUUGUCACUUUUUGUUAAUGACUUUGACGAAACAUUCAGCUCUGAGUGUCCGCACCAUGGGAUUGCAGGAAAGAGCAGCUACCGCUAUAACUUGCAUGCAAACAGAAAUCGAGUUGACGCUUGAUUGAUUCUUAUGCUUACUUUGAUUCACUUUAACUUUAACUUUAGUUGGACUGUGCCUCCCCAAAGACUUCUGUUGGGCGCUGAAAGAAGCUCGACAAUGGAUCAAGUUGAUACCAAGACUCAGUAUUCUCUCACAGUUCAGUUGAAACUUAAAUUUAAAAAGCAGAAACAGGAUUGUGUUUGAGUGUUAAAAGCACUGGGCUAAAAUCAUUGGAUUAAAUCUUAACAGUACUUUUAAAAGUUCAAUAAUAUGAUCUUUGAUCCAUAAAUGUGCUGAAAUUUGACAAUGUACUAAUAUUUAAAACCAUUCCACAAUUUCCAGCACAAUGGGGGUGAAACAGUUGCACAGAUUCCAGUAAUAACAACAGUCUCAUUGCAGUUCGUAACUCUUUUAUACUUUAAUCUAAAUAUUGUACAUUAGGUAGUCUGUUGUUGACUCUCAUUUAUUCCGGUUCAUUCUUUGACUCAUCUACAUCCUAAUGUAGCAUGUUAUGCAAUCAGAACUUACCUCAUGAAAUGGUUUCUCCAGUGGAUCCAGAGAACUCAACAGGGAUGGAAGAUUGACAGGAGAGAGCAUUAAGUGCUUUGUGUUCUGAAAAAGUUUCAAUAAGACAUAAAUUGACAGAAGAAGAAAAAAUACUCAAGCAUUUUUACAAUACACUGAAAUAAAAGUUUAUUAACAUGACAUAUUAAUAUAUACCUUGUGUUCAGGUUUAUGUUAAAACCUGCAUUAACUCAUGAAGGAGAAAUUAACUGUGUUUCAAUAAAGAUAUUGCGUGUAAAAUUGUAGUGCAGGUUUUUCGUUCAUUGCUUUAUUUUUAUGCACAUCAAUAUAUAGCCAGUCCUGGUCCAUAUUACAGUACAGGCUAUUGAAAAAC